rnacentral:rRNA from 1 species
UACGGAGGGGGCUAGCGUUGUUCGGAAUUAUUGGGCGUAAAGGGCGCGUAGGCGGCUUGGCAAGUGGAUGGUGAAAUCCCUCGGCUUAACCGAGGAACUGCCGUCCAAACUGCUUCGCUUGAGACCGGGAGAGGUGAGUGGAAUUCCCAGUGUAGCGGUGAAAUGCGUAGAUAUUGGGAGGAACACCAGUGGCGAAGGCGGCUCACUGGACCGGUACUGACGCUGAUGCGCGAAAGCGUGGGGAGCAAACGGG